AAAUGUUUUAUUUAUACAAGGCUGAAAAAACUGGACAAAAAUACCCCUGUGGGGUCAGUGCGGGCCGCACAAAACGGACCAUGACCGCACUGGCUCUUGGGUUUUAGUUGUUUGAUGACUUGAAUUGGGGGAUGCGGACCGCGUGGGAGUGUACCGCGACUGCGAAGGCAACUGGCGCGGUCCGCGCAGACGUGACCGCGGACCGCAUGAGGACAAAUGCCCCUUUGCUAAACCCUAUGAGCGCGGACCGCACAGAGAAGGAGUGCGGCCGUGAAGCUUCUCCGUGGGCCACGUGACCUUAGGCUCGAAAAUGUCCAGUCUCUGAACCUCCUACUGCGGCCGCGGUCAUUGUUACGCGGUCCGCACUAGGCCCAUUUUUCUUCACUUCUCUUGGUCUUUGAUACUUGAGCAGGUUUCACUCCUUUUUGAGCCGAUUUUUGACAUCUCGUCACUUUGUCAAUCAAUCCUGCAAUCAAGCACAACUUGUGAGCAUUUUGGGACUAUUUUUGUAUCAAUUUAUACUCAAAGCAUAGGCAAGUAGGGACAUAAACACUUUAAAAUCCUAACUUAUCAGUUAUUCCUUUUCGUAGAAAUAUAUAUGAGGAUGAAAAACUGAAAUUUAUUCUUUAGUAGGGCCAAUUUAGAGGAAUGAGAUGGGAAUGUAUUGUCAUGCCCCGAGCCCGGCACCUAGUGCCUCAUCUAUCCUUCCAUACCACUUGCGACUAAGAGACUCUGAACAUGUAAUGUCAUACUUUGGCUAUGGGCCACAUUACAAGAUAAUGUGUGAUACAAAAUAUAAAACUAAAUGAAAACUAACGCUGACUAAUGUCAACAUAAAGAUGGGCCGGCAAGGCUGUCAUAAUAACUACAACUGACAAGCCAACAAAAUAUACGUAUAGGGCCUACAAGCCCAACAUACUGCACUAACCGACAGGAUAUGUCUAAAAGACUCUACUAAUAGAUGCACUUGAUCAGAAUAGGGCCCCUACCUACCCAUAACAUAUCUACAUAUAUACACAAGAUAUACACCACACUGCUAGACUCGGCAACUCUGAAAGAGGGGAGCUUACCGACAAAUCUAAACUCGAACAACACCUACUGAGGAGGUCUACCCGUCUGUCUAUCUAAACCUGCACGCAUGAAAUGCAACGCCCCCAGAAGGGACGUUAGUACAAAAUAAUGUGCCGAAUAUGUAAGGCAAUAUACUGAAGUUGAAACUGAACUGAUAAUAUAAUAACUGAAAACAACUAGGAGUCAAAGAAAAUCUGAAGAUAUGCUCAUCUGCUGAUACUGACUCAACUAUCUCAAUAGAGUGAGUAAAAUAGUUGUCUGGCUCUAUAAGUCUCGGUAUAUAUAUAUGUAACUGCUCUUGCCAUAGUAGGCUCGCUCAUAGGUGCUCGGCCAUACUAGGCUCUGUAUCUUGACCAACUUGGCUCGAUCAUAGGCACUCGGCCACAGUAGGCUCAGUAUAUAUCUUACCAUUUGAUCAGAGGUUGCCCAAUAGAGGCCUGCCCAUCGAUUAUAGCUCAAUGGUAAUGAAAAUACUUUUAGUACUGUAUAUAUGUAAACUCUCUGCUCUUUUGACCAGAAGAAGAAAAUACUCAACUGAAUACGCAGUCCCGAUAAGAAAAAUAUGGUAACUUACAAAACUAGAAAAAUAUAGGUAAUUUGCGAGACUAGCAAAAAUAUACAUAAAUUUCGGGGUACGAAUUUUUCAUUAUGCCUCGUUAUCAAACUUGUGUAAUUACGAUAUCAUGCUAAAAUGAAGGAAAAGCUUAGCCUUAACAUACUUGUUCCUGGAAUUAUUAACAAAUCUGCUUCUGCAAAAUUUACACUGGAUUCCUUGAAAUUGGAACGAAAUUUGGACUGAAAUUUUCGGACGAAUUUUUUUUGACUCUGUUCUUGCGUUCUUGGCUUCAACCCCACAACCAGAUUGUUGUUUCAAGCUUCUUUAAAUCUCUUUGAAAUCUUUUCAUGAAUCAGAUUUCUUAAACCAAAGUGAUAUUAAUCUUUUUGUUCAAAAAUGGAAUCCCAACACUCUAAGUCUUACUUAAGACUUACUUACUACGUUAUUCUUUUUUGGAUUAAGACUUUUAUAAGUUCUUAUUUUAAGAUUUAUCUUCAAGUACACCUAUACAUGAAUCAUCAUUCCUAAUUAGUGGCCUUAUGCCACGUGGGAGGGUGAUAUAAUUUAUAGUUUUUAUCCACUUAUUAUUUAACUGGAUAAUGUCUUGUUACCUGGUAAUUAAUCAAUUACCCGCCAAUUUAAAAAUUACCCCAAAUUACUUAAAAUUCUAUUUAUUUCUAAAAUACUUCAUAUAUACUUUAUAUAUAUACUACCAUGGUCAUAUGGUACCUUGCAUAGUACUAGUUCAUAAUUAUCGGGUAAUAUCGCUCGACCCGUAUUUUAUUCCAAAUUGGCCACUUUCAACGAAACUCGUUUUCUUUAAUUUGUGCACCCUCUAUACUUCAUAACACUUAUUUAUCGCUUGUUAUAAAUAGCAUAAGUACAUAAAUGUCAAGAUGAUCUCAUCCCCGAGUCUACGUCGGUUAACUGAAAUCAAAAUUUUUAACGUACGAAAACGCGAGAUGUAACAUCCUUCCCCCUUUAGAAAUAUUCGUCCUCGAAUGUUCAACUCCUCAUGAUCCGUAUAACUUGGGCAGGGUCGCCUUUGUAACAACACCACUACCAGCUCUCCUCAUAGAAGAUUAAUAACCCAACGACACACAUGAUCAUAAUUAUGAAUAACGACAAUGGUCUCACAUGACCAAUGACAAUAACCAACACAUGAAUUUAUACUCGUACCUUAUAAUUAUGAUGUCUCAGCCAGACCCUUCUCUAGAGGAGGAAGUAAGUAGGGAUAUCUAGACUUCAUGUUUUCCUCGGCCUCCCAAGUCAUUUCUUCCGCAUUGUUGUUUCUCCAAAGUACUUUCACGGAGGCUACUUCUUAUUCCGCAGCUUGCGGGUUUGUCGGUCUAAGAUGGCAACCAAAAUUUCCUCGUAUGACAAGUCCUUUGUAAUUUGUACAUCAUCUGUGGGCACCACUUGGGUAGGGUCGCCAAUGCACUUUCGUAACAUAGAUACAUGAAAAAUCAGAUGAACACACUCCAAUUCUGAGGGCAAUUCUAACUCAUAAGCUACUUGGACCACUCUCCAAAUGAUCUUAUAAGGCCCAAUAUAUCAUGGUCUAAGCUUGCCUUUCUUGUCAAACCUCAUCACACCUUUCAUAGGUAACCUUUAAGAAUACCCAGUCAUUAACCCCAAACUCUAAAUAUCAUCGCCACACGUCAAAAUAUGACUUCUGACGACUCUGAGCUAUCAACAGUCUCUCCCAGAUAAGCUUUAAUUUUUCUAUGGCCUGCUGAACCAGGUCUGGCCCAUGUAACCCAGAUUCUCCAACAUCAAACCACCCUAUGGGAGAUCUGCACCUGCGCCCAUACAAAGCUUCGUAUGGAGCCAUCUGGAUAUUGGAGUGGUAAUUGUUAUUAUAUGAAAACUCGAUAAGAGGUAGAUGUUUAUCCCAACUUCUUUUUAAAAUCCAGCACACAUGCUCGUAACAUAUCCUCGAGCGUCUGAAUCGUGCACUUGGCUUGUCCAUCCGUUUGUGGAUGAAAAGCUGUGUUGAGAUUCACCUGAGUUCCUAGACCUUUCUGAAAUGACCUCCAAAAAUGUGCUGCAAACUGGGCCCCACAGUCAGAUAUAAUAGAUACGGGUACUCCAUGUAGUUGCACUAUCUCCUUAAUAUAUGUUUUUGCAUAAUGCUCUACUGUAUAUGUAGAUCUGACCGGUAGGAAAUGAGUUGAUUUCGUGAGCCUGUAGACUAUCACCCAUAUGGAAUCAAACUUACGACAGGAACGAGGUAACCCGUGAUAAAGUCCAUGUUUAUCGCCUCCCAUUUCCAUGUCGGGAUCUCUAUAGUCUGCAUUAGCCUUCUGGGCUUCUAGUGCUCUAUUUUCACCUACUGGCAACUAGGGCAUUGAGCGACAUACUCAGCAAUGUUCUUCUUCAUAUCAUUCCACCAAUACACCUCCUUAAUGUCAUGAUAUAUCUUCGUCGACCCAGGGUGAAUGGAGUACCAUGAAUAAUGUGCCUCUGACAUAAUCCUGUCUCGUAGCCCUGCUACAUCUGGAACACACAAACGACCCUUAUAUCUGAGAACCCCAUCUCCUUUGAGUUCUAACAACAGCAUCUUCUGUUGGGGAACCCACUCUCCCAAUUCGACUAACUUUGGGUCCUCGUACUGCCUCUGCUUUACUUCAACUAUGAGAGAUGAUUUUGCAGUAUUUUGGAGUACAGCUCCUCCAUUACUAAAGUCAACUAACCGAACCCCCAAACAAGCCAAUUGAUGAAUCUCUCCAGUUAAUUGUCUUUUUUCGUCCUCUACAUGUGCUAAGAUACCCAUAGAUCGGCGACUUAAGGCAUUUACUACAACAUUAACUUUCCCUGGAUGGUAGAGAAUGUUAACAUUGUAGUCUUUUAAUAACUCAAGCCAUCGUCUCUGUCGCAAAUUCACUCUUUUUGCUUGAAGAUAUAUUGCAGGCUUUUAUGAUUUGUGAACACAUCAACAUGAACACCAUAUACAUAAUGCCGCCAUAUCUUAAGUGCAUGGACAACCAUAGCUAAUUCGAGGUCGUGGGUCGGAUAAUUCCGCUCAUACUUCUUUAACUGUCAUGAAGAAUACGCAAUUACUUUCCAAUGUUGCAUUAGGACACAUCCUAACCCGACACCUGAGGCAUCACAAUACAUGGCAUAACCAUCUGGACUUUCUGGAAGUGCUAGAACUGGCACUGAGGUCAACCUGUUCUUAAGCUCUUGGAAACUCUACUCGCAGGCCUUUGUCCACUGAAACUUAGUCGUUUUCUACGUCAGCUUUGUUAAUGGUGCUGAAAGAGAAGAAAAACCCUCUACGAACCUCCGGUAAUAUCCUGCUAAGCCUAGAAAGCUACGAAUCUCUGUCAGAGUGGUAGGUCUAGGCCAGGAUUUCACAACCUCAAUCUUCUGAGUGUCUACCUUUAUACCUCUGUCGGAUACAAUAUGCCCCAAGAAUGCUACGGACUUUAACCUGAACUCACAUUUAGAAAACUUAGCAUACAAUUUAUUAUCACGGAGGGUUUUAAGUACUGCUCACAGAUGAUCCACAUGCCCAUCCUCUGAAUAUGAAUAAACUAGAAUACCAUCAAUAAAGACUAUCACGAACAGAUCCAAAUAUGGCCGAAAUAGGCUAUUCAUCAAGUCCAUAAAUAUGGCAGGUGCAUUCGUCAACCCGAAGGACAAAACAAGGAACUCAAAGUGGCCAUAUCGGGUCCUAAAAGCUGUCUUGGGAAUAUCUUUCUCCCGAACUUUGACUUGGUGGUACCCGGACUUCAAAUCUAUCUUUGAAAAGCAUCUAGCUCCCUAUAACUGAUCAAACAAGUCAUCUAUCCUUGGAACGGGAUACUUAUUCUUAAUAGUUACCUUAUCCAGUUGCCUAUAAUCAAUACACAUCCUUAGCGAGCCGUCUUUCUUCCGCACAAACAGUAUCGGUGCACCCCAAGGUGAAGUACUGGGCCUGAUGAAACCUUUCUCCAGCAAAUCUUUUAACUUCUCCUUCAAUUCGGCAGGUGCCCUUCUAUACGGAGGGAUGGAUAUUGGUUGCAUUCCCGGAAGCAAAUAGAUGCCAAAAUCAAUCUCUCGCUCUGGAGGAAUACCUGGAAGUUCAUCUGGAAAUACAUUUGCGUACUCCUUUACUACUGGAAUAGACUGAAGUGUAGGUAUCUCAGCAUCUGCAUCUUUAACUCGCACGAUAUGAUAAAUGCACCCUUUUGUGAUCAUUUUCCUCACCUUCAGAUAGGAAAUAAACCUUCCUCUGGGUGUCGCUGUAUUACCUACACAUUCAAGGACUGGCUCACCCGAAAAAUGAAAUCUGGAUAUCUUUGCUUGACAAUCAAUUGUGGCAUAACAAGCUGUCAACCAGCCCAUGCCCAUGAUAGCAUCAAAAUCCAACAUCUCUAGCUCAACUAGGUCGGCUGAGGUCCGAUGACCACAAACUGAUAUCGUACAACCUCGGUAAACGCAUUUAGCUAUAAUCAAUUCUCUAAUCGGUGUAGAUACCGCAAAAGGAUCACUUAGUAUUUCAGGCACUAUAGCAAAUUUCUGCGCUACAAAUGGGGUAAUACAUGAUAAAGUAGAUCCUGGAUCUAUCAAGGCAUAAACAUCGUGAGAACAAAUGGUCAACAUACCUGUCACAACGUCUAGUGAGGACUCUUAGUCUUGUCGACCUGCUAGCGCAUAGAUACGAUUCUGGCUACCACCUGAACUGUACCAUAUACCUCUGCCUCGACCUCUACCAGCCGAAGACUGAGACUCGUGCCCUGAAGGAUGCACGAACAUAGCUGAUCCUAUUGCUAAAUUCGUUGGUUGCGCCAUUACCCCAAAAUCUCUAUUUGGGCAAUCUCGUAUCAUAUGCCCCGGACGUCCACAUAUAUAGCAAGCAUCAGAAUCGGCUCAGCAUUGUCCCAAAUAUCCUCUACCAUAGAUGGCACACCGCGGCGGAACUGGCCAUGUCUGCCCUGAACCUCGUUGUCGCUACAAACUUGACACCCGGGAGCUGUCACCUAGUCCUAACUGAGUAUAACGGUCAUACUUGUAACCCUGUAGAUGAGGUGGCGGAGGUCUAGGUGGUCGUUCGAAGUACUGGGGCCUAUAACUACCCUGAGGCUGCUCUUGAGACCUGGCAAAUCUCAUCCUCUUAUGCUGCCCUGUCUCAGUCCUCUCUGUACUCUGCUGCCGACGCCUACCCCUCUCUAUAUUCUAGGAAAAUGCCUGAAUCCGGGAGAUAUCCAUACUAUCCUGCAAUGCAACGGUGGCACACGCCUCGGUCAACUCUGGGGCCAAUCCUGCUAUAAACCUAUGGAUUCUAUCUCGCAUAGUAGCAACUAUGGAUGGUGCAUAUCUGGCCAAUGAGUCAAAACGGAGACUAUAUUCUCGAACACUCAUAUUGCCCUGCUUGAGGGCUAGAAACUGAUCGAGUCGGGAUUGUCGGAUCUCUCGUGGUAAGUACUAGUCAAGGAAGGCAUCUGAAAAAUUCUCCCAAAUAGUAGGAGGUGCAUCACGUCCUCUGGACCUUUCCCAUCCCUAAUACCAAAGGAUGGUUAUAUCUCGGAGUCGAAAAACUGCUAACUCAACUGCCUCUUUCCCCAUGGCAUGCAUAACCCGAAAGAUCCUACGAAGCUGAUAUAUGAAAUCCUGCGGGUCCUCCCUCUGAUCUAUCCCUGUGAACUCUAGGGGAUUCAAAGUAGUAAACUCUCGGACCCUUGAACUCCCAGAUCCCUCAGAAGGUCCUGCACUAGCGGAUGUCCUAGCUUGUUGCUGGGUAGCUACCAACUGUGCCAACAAAUGUACUGCACUCCUCAAGUCCUGAUCUGAUGGAAGGGGGGAACCGGAUGUGCGGUCUCCCUAGGGAUAUCCUCAGGUGGCGGAGGAGCCGGUAAUCGCUGGGUAUGGUCUUUCCCUUCGACUCCGAUUGGGCCCCAUCUGCUGGGGGUACCCUGCUAGUCUCCUCACCUACUGUUGUUUCUCUCCUCUAGCUAGCCGUAAUCUUCUUAGUUACCGUCAUCUGUGCAUGCAAACGUCAACACUUAAGUUUAACUCAAAUUUCCUCUAACUCAGUGCUACUAAAGCACGAUUUAGAUUUGAAAGAAGGGUAACCAAUUCUUAAAUGUCCUGUAGUCCCCUGCUUAUAUAAUGUGGUGCACCACAUAUUUAUAAACAAGACUCUGCUAGACACGGCUUGUAAAUUCCCUAGGACAGAACUGCUCUGAUACCACUUUGUCAUGCCCCGAGCCCGGGGCGAGAUCGGCACCUAGUGCCUCAUCUAUCCUUGCGUACCACUUGCGACUAAGAGACUCUGAACAUGUAAUGUCAUACUUUGGCUAUGGGCCACAUUACAAGAUAAUGUGCGAUACAAAAUAUAAAACUAAAUGGAGACUAACGCUGACGAAUGUCAACAUAAAGCUAGGCUGGCAAGGCCGUCAUAAUUACUACAACUGAUAAGCCCACAAAAUAUACGUAUAGGGCCUACAAGCCCAACAUACUGCACUAACCGACAGGAUAUGUCUACAAGCCUCUACUGAUAGAUGUACUGUGAUCGGAACAGGGCCCCGACCUACCUAUAACCUAUCUACAUAUAUACACAAGAUAUACACCACACUGCUAGACUCGGCAACUACGAAAAAGAGGAUCUUACCGACAAAUCUGAAUUCGGACAACACCUACUGAGGAGGUCUACUCGUCUG
rnacentral:lncRNA from 1 species